UACGUAGGGACCGAGCGUUGUCCGGAAUCAUUGGGCGUAAAGAGCGUGUAGGCGGCCUUUUAAGUCCUGCGUGAAAUCCUGCGACUCAACCGCAGACGGUCGUGGGAAACUGGAAGGCUAGAGUGCGGGAGAGGAGAGUGGAAUUCCUGGUGUAGCGGUGGAAUGCGCAGAUAUCAGGAGGAACACCGGUGGCGAAGGCGGGUCUCUGGGCAGUAACUGACGCUGAGGAGCGAAAGCGUGGGGAGCGAACAGG
rnacentral:rRNA from 1 species